rnacentral:rRNA from 1 species
UACGGGGGAGCAAGCGUUGUUCGGAUUUACUGGGCGUAAAGGGCGCGUAGGCGGUCGUGACAAGUCACUUGUGAAAUCUCCGGGCUUAACUCGGAACGGUCAAGUGAUACUGUCGGACUAGAGUACAGAAGGGGCAACUGGAAUUCUCGGUGUAGCGGUGAAAUGCGUAGAUAUCGAGAGGAACACCUGCGGCGAAGGCGGGUUGCUGGGCUGAUACUGACGCUGAGGCGCGAAAGCUAGGGUAGCAAACGGG